UGGCGAACGGGUGAGUAACGCGUGAGGAACCUGCCUCAAAGAGGGGGACAACAGUUGGAAACGACUGCUAAUACCGCAUAAGCCCACGACCCGGCAUCGGGAAGAGGAAAGGAGCAAUCCGCUUUGAGAUGGCCUCGCGUCCGAUUAGCUAGUUGGUGAGGUAACGGCCCACCAAGGCAACGAUCGGUAGCCGGACUGAGAGGUUGAACGGCCACAUUGGGACUGAGACACGGCCCAG
rnacentral:rRNA from 1 species